rnacentral:lncRNA from 1 species
UUUUUUUUUUUUUUUUUUUUUUUUUUUAGUGCUGCACUCAUGGCAUAUGAAGUUCCCAGGUUAGGGGUCAAAUUGGAGCUGUAACUGCCAGCCACUGCCACAGCAAUGGCAGAUCUGAGCUGUGUCUUUGAUCUACAUCACAGCUCAUGGCAAUAGCGGAUCUUUAACCCACUGAGCAAGGCUGGGGAUCAAACCCAUGUCCUCAUGGAUCCUACUCAGGUUCAUUACUGCUGAGCCACAAUGGGAACUCCUCCUCCUGCAGACAUUCUAUCCCUCCUUUUCUAGCCCCUCCAAAGCCUUUAAAAUACAGGAUUUUUUGAUAGGAUUCUCACUCUUGUCCUCAAUAUUCUGCUUAUUCAAUUAACCAAAUGAAUUAUAUGGCCUAUUUCAUCGUAUCCCCUUAUUUGAGCACUUCUGACUUGUCUGUAAUAUUAGACCCAGAAUUUCAGUGUCUACUCAUUAUGUCUCCUCUAUACCAUCUCAGACUCUCCCUAGGCUUCUCACUUUUCCUUAUACUCUCGUAUCUUUUACUGAUUCUGGUUCCAAGAUCUCCAAUUCCAUCUUCUGGUCUCUAAACAACUAUGUACCCAUUAUGUAAAGGACAACUCAAGUUUCAGUCUUCUUCUUUCUGCAUUAGCAGCCCUUGUUGAUUUUGCCCUUCUCUGAAUCUGUAUCAUUUAGAUUAUUUCUCUGUGUCUGGAAAACUAUUUAAACAAAAUACUUAUUAGUAAUACCCAGUACCUAAACAAAAGUAGUUUAUAAUCUGUAAGUUUUUAAGUAAAGCACCAGUUUUUCAUCAUUCCCAGGAAAAGAUUGGAUUUCAAUUUAUGCCCACUUUUAGAAAGAUAAAUUGAUAAAAUACUAAUGGAUUGUGAUCAGUGUAAUUCACAGCCUCAACUUAUUUAUAUGAAAUUGAAAUAUUGAGGUUUGAACUUCUUAAAUAAUCCAACAAACCCAUCUUUCUUAAGUUUCACGUUUCGUUUUCACAAUACAUUCUCAGCAGUUAUUUUUCUCAUUCAGCCCAAAUUGGAAUGGCAGCCAAAUGGCCAAAUAAGACAGGGAUUUUUGAGUAAUUAAAAAAAUUAGUAUUUCCCAGCCUGGAUUGUGAUCAAUGUACUGAAUCAUCAGUGGCUGCCUACAUCGUAACCUUGGACCACCUCACAAUUCAUGGGCACUUGCAUCGUGAUCACCAACUUUAUUGUCAAUGCUUGAAAAUCAAUUAGACUCAAAAAAAGGUAUCUAGAUCUUUAAGAUUUUAUUAAUAUACUUAACAUUUAGAACUAUAACAUUUAUUGCGUUGAAAAUUUAAUAACAUUAUCAUCAUCAUGAUAAUCCGCUAAUAUUUACUGUUCAUUCACCAUAUUCCAGGCAUUGUUCUAAAUGCUUACUUUACUAUUUCAUGCACUCAUCAUAAUAGCCCUAUGACUUAGGUAUUGUUAUUAUUGUAUUUAUCAUCCCCAUUUUAAAGGUGAGGAUUCUGAAGUAGGAGGAUGUUAAGUAAAUUGCCUGAGGACACAUAGCAAAUAAUGGCAGAGUUGGGAUUCAAAAUCAGAUAGUUUAGUAUAUGGAUUGAAGAACCUUAAUAACUUUGGCAGAAUUCACAAUAAAUAUCCUUAGUCAUCAUUGGCUUAAAAUUCUAUUAUAUUAAUCAUUACUUAUCAUAGUCUUUAUCUCUUAAUACUCAUCUUUGCCUUUGUCUUACCUGGGAAAAAUUGGAGCCAGACAUUUAUCUUACAUAGUUUAUUGAGUUGCCCAAAUAGCCUAAACAUUUAUUUUUGCUGGGUAAUAAAGCUAUAAUUAAUGCUUAAAUUAGGUUCAUUAAAGCAGAGGAAAGUAAUAAUCAUUUUUAGAACUUUUAUUUUACUAAGGAUAAAUAAGAGUUAAAAUUUCUGAGACUAUACAAAUGUGGGCUGAAUUUUAUAACAUACCAAAAUUUAUUUCUUGGUUACUUCAUGCCCGUAUUAUUCUUUUUUUUUUCAUUUUUUUAUUACUCAAAUGAAUUUAUCACAUCUGUAGUUGUAUAAUGAUCAUCACAAUCCAAUUUCACAGGAUUUCCAUCCCACAGCCCAGGAACAUCCCCCCACCCCCCAAACUGUCUCCUCUGGAGACCAUACGUUUUUCAAUGUCUGUGAGUCAGCAUCUGUUCUGCAAAGAAAUUCAGUCUGUCCUUUUUUCAGAUUCCACAUGUCAGUGAAAGCAUUUGAUGCUGGUAUCUCAUUGUAUGGCUGACUUCACUUAGCAUGAUAGUUUCUGGGUCCAUCCAUGUUGCUAAAAAUACUGGUAUUUCGUUCUUUUUAAUGGCUGAGUAAUAUUCCAUUGUGUAUAUGUACCCCCUCUUUUUGAUCCACUCCUCUGUGGAUGGACAUUUAGGUUGUUUCCAUGUCUUGGCUAUUGCAAAUAGUGCUGCAAUGAACAUUGGAGUACAUGUGUCUUUGCGAGUGGUGGUUUUCUCUGGAUAGAUGCCCAGGAGUGGGAUUGCUGGAUCAAAUGGUAGUUCUAUGUUUAGUUUUUUGAGGAAUCUUCAUACUGUUUUCCGCAGUUUUUGCACCAAUUUACAUUCCCACCAACAGUGUACUAGGGUUCCUUUUUCUCCACACCCUCUCCAGCACUUAUUUUUUGUAGACUUUUGGAUGAUGGCCAUUCUGGCCAUGCCGGUAUUAUUCUCAUAGGUCAGUUAUAAGUCUCUGGUACCUCUUUGAAAAGGCCCAAAUAACUGGAAGAUUAACUCAUAGUUUCAAUAAAUUCGAAUUAAUUUGAAUGGUAUUUUUAAAAAGCUAACUGCCAUAAUCAGGUAAAGGAAUGCAAUUUAUACUGUAUACUAUGAAGCAGCCAUACAUUCAAAUUUGGCUCCAUUCUACAUCCUUGUAGGGAAUUGAAUAGAAUAUGAGCUAUUUAAGGUAAAUCACUUGGUAGUUUCAAUUUCUGAUCAGGAUUCAUUUGCUUAAAUUACACUGGAAUCUAGUAAAAAAUUAGAAGGUCGUAGGAUUUUGAUGACCUUCAAACAAAAACACAAAAAUGAUAGUUGAUGAACAUAGCACUACUUACUCAUGCUACUCUUUAUUUGUAAAGUUAAAAGCAAAAAUCAAAAAUGGUGAACUAAUUUUGCUAUCUUUUGUGAUCCUACUUGCCUUACUACCAUAAUACAUAUAUCAUCUGAUAUUUUUAAAAUUUAAAUGGCACUUCAAAUUUUCUGGAUAAACCUAGUUUAAAUGACAAAUGAAAAAAUAAGCAACCAUGAGCAAAUUUUGUGUGUGUGUGUGAAACAAUUAAGUGUCUCUAUCCUUAAAAAGAAAUUGGUUUGGAUUCCAAUUCUCCAUGACAAAUGGAACACACCCAUCUGCUGUUCCUCCCUCCUGAAUUCCACUGCAGUGAGCAUGAAUAUGCACCAAAGGAAACAAAUCCAUAAUAGAUAUAAGAAAAGGAAGAGGAGUUCCCGUCGUGGCACAGUGGUUAAUGAAUCCGACUAGGAACCAUGAGGUUGCGGGUUUGAUCCCUGGCCUUGCUCAGUGGGUUAAAGGAUCCAGUGUUGCUGUGAGCUGUGGUGUAGGUUGCAGACACGGCUCGGAUCCUGAGUUGCUGUGGCUGUGGGGUAGGCUGGCCGCUGCAGCUCCGAUUAGACCCCUAACCUGAGAACCUCCAUAUGCCGCGGGAGCAGCCCAAGAAAUGGCAAAAAGACAAAAAAAAAAAAAGAGAGAGAGAGAGAGAGAAGGAAGAGUAUAAGGUCAGUGGACUUUGGUGGCAUAAGGCAAAUAAGAGAGAUGUUUCUUUUAUGAGCAGAAAUGAAAACCAAUUUGUAUCCUGGAGUGACAAUAAAGAAUCAGCAGGUGUGAGGAGUAGGAUCAUGUUGUAGGACAGUGAUGAAUUAUUAUUUCAAAAACUGUAUACUGAACUGCAGUGUCCUGCAUGUAGUCUGUCACCUCCAUCCUUGUAGGUACAGAGAGUGGGCAAAUGUGGCCAUAAAUAAAGUGUAAUUAACAGAUAGACAGUUUAAAGAUGGUUGGACAGGGGUGGGAUCAAGAUGGCAGAGGAAUAAGAUGAGCCACUCACCUUUUCCCACAGACACCUCAAAAAAAACUACAUGUAGAACAAUUAGCACAGAACAUCUACUUAACAUGGCAGAAGACCUCCAAUCUCCAAAAAGGGUAAGAAAACCUCUGCAUAACUAGGUAGAACAAAAGGAAAAAAAUGAGAGAGAGAGAGAAAAGGAAUCAGGACAGGGUCAGCACUCCUGAGAGGGAGCUGUGAAAUAGGAAAGGAAGCUGCACCUGGGAAACCACCUAACUGAUGGGGAAAUCAGCUGAGAUGGAAGGACCACAAAGCCUCUGAGAAAAGUGCAGCAGCUGAACUGAGGAGGGCAAAGCAGAGAGAGAGCCUCACAAACCAUGAACUCCACAGCCAGAAAUGCUUGGACAGGGGCUGGGUGCUGAGACUCAGGCUCGAGUUCAGUUCCAGGGAGAGGACUAGGGUUUGUUGUGUGGAGACAGCCUGAGGGGUUAGGGAGUGGUGCACCUUGGGUUGGGGAGCAGAGCACGACAGCUGAGGGAGCAUAGGAGGAGGCCUGGGCCCACAGGAGAAGCAAGGCACCAUUGCUGGGGAGGAUGAGAGAAGGGAGAGACCUCCAAAGGAAUAUCUUUCUCUGCACAUGCUUGGGCUCUCAGUGGCAGGAGUUUCUUGUGCCAGGGUAGCCUCUUUCACAGGCUACAGGCAGUAGGGUACCUCUCAUGUGGGAUACAGGUGGUGGGGAUAAACCUGAACAGGCACCACCUGCAGCUAGUCACCUCGAGGAUCAGCAUAGAGGAUGGCACUGCAACUGAGGGCCACCCAUUGUUGCUCUCACUCCCCUGAGAAUGUACACACCCUGCUGCUGCCACUGCCAAACUCUCCAGGUGCCACCUACACAUGCCUGAGGGUCACUACCACUUCCCACGGCCCUGCAACCAGGAGCAGCCUGCACCACCUUCCUGUGGGUCCUCACUGCUGUCAAGGGCCCAGCAAUGAGGCACUGGUGACAGCCCUGCCUAUUGCAUCCAUCUCCCUGGCAGCAUGUGCAGGCCAUACACCAGCACAAGGAGAGCAGCCUGCGUGUAAUGAGGGAAGAGUCAGUAAGCACUGAAACCAAAAGCAGCCCUCAUGCCAAAGGAAAAAAAAAAGUAAUCCCUCACAAAAUACCCAGGAACACUCUCACAUAUAAAUAGCCCUCCAAAACUACAGUAGUUGUUUUCCAUAAAUUAAAAAAAUAAGAAAAAUAAAAGCAAAAUGAAGAGGUUCAGGAACCAUUCCCAGUUAAAAGAACAGGAGAAUUCCCUUGAAGAAGCAAACGAUGAAACAGAUCUCUGCAGUCUGUCACCAAGUUCAAAAAGGAGACUGUGAAAAUACUGAAAGAAUUAAGGGCAAGUAUAAAGGAAUUAAGAGUAGAAAUGAACAGUAAUGCAGAUAGGAACUAGAAAAUAUGAGGAGGAGCCAAGAAAAAUUAGAAAAUUCAUUUGCAGAAAUCCGAACUGAAUUAAAGGCAUUGAAGAGCAGAAUGAAUGAUGCAGAGGAAUGAAUAAGUGACUUGGAAGAUAGAAUAAUGAAAAUCACCCAAUCAGGACAGCAGACAGAAAAUCAAAUGAAAAAAACUUGAAAGCUAUAUAAGAGAUCUAUGGGCUAACAUAAAGCAGGCCAAUCUACACAUAAUAGGGAUUCCAGAAGGAGAAGAAAAAGAAAAAGGGAUCAAAAAUAUAUUUGAAAAAAAAUUAUAGCUAAAAACUUUCCAAGUCUAAAGAAAACAGAUAUUGAGGUUCAAGAAGAACAGAGGGCCCCAAACUAGUUGAAUCCAAACAGGCCCAUAUCAAGAAAGACAUAUUAUAAUAAAAAUGGCAAAAGUUAAAGAAAAGAUUCUAAAGGCAGCAAGAGCAAAACAAAGACAAUUAUAAUGGAAGCUAUCAGUUGAUUUCUAUACAGAAGCACUACAGGCCAUAAGAGAGUGGCAAGAUAUAUUCAAAGUUCUAAAAGGGAAAUUUUUUCAGCCUAGAAUACUCUACCCAGCAUGAAUAUCAUUUAAUGUAGGAGAAAUAAAGAAUUUCUCCAAGAAAUAAAAACUAAAAGAAUACAACAAUACUAAACUCAUUCUAAAAGAAAUACUGAAAGGUCUCUUGUAAAUAGGAAAGAAGUAAGAAGAUAUAGGACAGAGGAAAUCACAAUUGGAAAGUAAUCACUUAAAUAAGCCAGUAUACAGAUCUAAAAGGAAAAAUAUAAAGUAUUUUUAAAAGCAACAAUAAACACAAGGAACAGCAAAAGGAUGAACAUGAAUACGUUAAAAACAGGACAUCAAAUAAUAAAAUGUGGGGAAUGAAAAUAAGAAAAUCUUGACACUUUUUUUUUAAGAAUGUGUUUGAGCCUAUAUUUCUCUCAGGCUAAAGCAAGCAGACAUAGAAAGGGGUUAACAUACUUGAAAAACAGGACAACCACAAAUCAAAACCAAACAGUACAUUCACAAAAACUACAAAGAAGAAGACACAAGCACAAAAUAAAAGGAAAUCAUCCAAUUAAAAAAAAGGGAACAAAGGAGAAACAGAAUAAACUGGAAAACAAGGUUUAAAAUAGCAAUAAAUACAUAUUUAUCAAUAAUCACCAUAAAUGUCAGCGGACGAAUGCUCUAAUCAAAAGACAUAGAGUGGCAGGCUGGAUCAAAAAAGAAGAGGCUGCAAUACACUGCCUACAAGAAACUCACAUCAGGACAAAGGACACAUAUAGAUUGAGAGUGAGGGUAUGGGAAAGGUAUUUGAUGCCAGGGGACAAGACAGGAAAGCAGGAAUUGCAAUACUCAUAUCAGACAAAAUAGACUUUAAAACAAAGCUAUAAAGAAAGACAAAGAAGGACAUUAUUUAAUGAUAUAAGGAUUAAUUCAAGAAAAGGAUAUUAUGAUCAUUUAUAUAUAUAUAAAUGAUCCCUAAUAUAGGAUCCCUAAUAUAGGAUCACCCAAAUACCUAUAACAAAUACUAACAGUCAUAAAAGGAUAAAUUAAUGGGAAUACAGUAAUUGUAGGAAAUUUAAACUGUAUUCACAUCAAUGGACAGAUCCCCUAGAUAGAAAGUCAAUAAGGCAACAGAGAUCCUAAAUGACACAAUAAAAAAGUAGACUUAAUUGACAUUUUUGGGACAUUACAUCCAAAAAAGUCAGAAUGUAUCUUUUCAGGUGCACAUGGAACAUUCUCAAGGAUUGACCACAUACUGGGCACCAAACUAACCUCAACAAAUUUAAGACCA